UUUCCGUAGGCGAACCUGCGGAAGGAUCAUUCAUAAUAAGUGUUUUAUGGCACUUUUUUAAAUCCAUAUCCACCUUGUGUGCAAUGUCAGGGUUGAUUUUUCUCUCGAGAGGAUCAAGCCCAAACAUCAACUAUAUCUCAACUCUUUGUCUGAAAAAUAUUAUGAAUAAAACAAUUCAAAAUACAACUUUCAACAACGGAUCUCUUGGCUCUC
rnacentral:misc_RNA from 1 species